AGGUUGUUGGUCUGCAGGAGGUUGAAUCAUGCGAUCACAUCAAAACUUUUCGUGAUAGCCCCAUCAGAUGAGAUCUUCUAUCUCAUCCUUCAGUUGAAUACAUUGUUCGGUAUCAUGAUUGUGGUCAUGAUGAAGCCGACAAUAUUUUCUCUUGUCGUGGUUCCUUAGGGGUGCUUUCAUUGGUAGGGGACAUCGAAGGUAGUCUUCUCUCUCUAUCUCCA
rnacentral:lncRNA from 1 species